AAACCGGAGUUACUAUUCACUUUAAGUGAAAACUAAUAAUCGCGUAACUUCUCCGUUUUAGCUCAUUUUCUUCUGAAACUUGACGAGUGCUUAUAUAGUUAAAUUACACAUAAACAUCAUCAACAGAGAGUUAAAUUACACAUAAACAUCAUCAACAGAGAGUUUAGUAGCACUGUAAAAAUCUCAGUCCUUACAUCACUCCUGUAAUUUUCUUCGCUCUUAAAUAUUGAUGCUUUAAAAUAGAACAUAUUAUUUCCUUACUAUCACUUCUGUAAUUUUCAUUUUGUAAUUUUUUUUCCUACUGUCACUCCUGUAACUUUCCAUCUUCAUGUAACAAAAUUUUUUUUCUUUAUAUUUUCUUGAAAACCAACAUCUAUAUAUUUUUAAAUCUUAAAAGUGACAAUAGGAACAUAAUAUAUGUGUGCUUACUCUAAUUUGUGUCAAAUAUGAAAGUUUACUUGAUCUCAUUAUAUGCUUAAAUAUUAAUGUCAUUUGUAAUUUUUCAUAUCAAUUUUAGUUAUCAUUUUAUUUCGCACAUCAAUAUAUAAAUGUAAAUUAUUUUGCACACCAAUUCAUAGAUAAUAGAGCAGGAUUGAAUUUUGCAUUUUAGUUGAAUAUUUACUUUGGUCCAAAUUUUUUUUUCUCUAGCUUGUGUACUUUAAUAUGUAAUAUAAUUAAGAUUGAUAGCAUAUUUUUUUAUUUGUUAAAAAAAAUAAAAUUAAUUAGAAAAUCUUUUUGUUAUCAUAACAUAAUAAAUUUUAUUAUUCUAUAUUAUUAUAUUAGCCGUGCAUCGCUCGGGUGAAAAUCUAGUUUCUUACAGAAAGAAAUAGAAUAUUUUUAUAUCGUAAUUUUCUAUCUGACGAUGCACGCUUCUUGCAAUUCCAAAUAGAGCCCAAGUCAUG
rnacentral:lncRNA from 1 species